AGGUGUAACGGAAAAAGCAAGUGCAGUUUUGUAAAAGACCUCAAAUAUUUGCGAUACCGAUGUGAAGAACCUCUUAGCAUUACACCCGAUAGAGUAUUUGCAGACGUGCGCUAUAUUUGCAUAAAUCCAAAUGAAGAAAUCUCAGGAAUAGACACCUACUCCAGGUUUCAACGGAAAAAUUGCAUGGAAAGAAAUGAACAAGGGUUACUGUGGCCUGACACCAUUCCAGGAGUAGAAUAUGUUCAAAGCUGCCCGGACGGUCAAUCUGGUUAUGCGACCUGGAUGUGCACGACGACAGACGGCCAUUGGCAUGAGAAUGGUCCAGACCUAUCCAAGUGUGUUCCCCAAUGGAUCGACGAAUAUAACAUGCAGGUA